rnacentral:rRNA from 1 species
UUAUUGACAUUAGCUCAUGAAUAAGGGGCUCCCAACUCUGUGCCAGCAGGAGCGGUAAUACAGAGGCCUCAAGCGUUAUCCGGAUUCACUGGGCGUAAAGGGUGCGUAGGCGGUUAUAUUAGUCGGGCGUAAAAUCCUAGGGCUCAACCUUAGGCUCGCGUUCGAAACGGUAUAACUAGGAGUAGUGAGAGGUGAACAGAACUCGCGGUGUAGGGGUGAAAUCCGUUGAUAUCGUGGGGAAUACCAAAUGCGAAGGCAGUUCACUGGCGCUUACUCGACGCUGAGGCACGAAAGCGUGGGUAGCGAACGGGAUUAGAUACCCCGGUAGUCCACGCCCUAAACGCUGUCCGCUGGCUUUAGGGAGAAUCGACCCUCCCUGAGGCGAAGGUAACCCGUUAAGCGGACCGCCUGGGUAGUACGAGCGCAAGCUUAAAACUCAAAGGAAUAGACGGGGGCUCGCACAAGCGGUGGAUCAUGAGGCUUAAUUCGUCGAUAAGCGAAAAACCUUACCCAGGCUAGAAACCAUACUGCACGCUCUCCGAAAGGAGAGAAUCCUUCGAGGGUGUAUGGCAGGUGAUGCAUGGCCGUCGUCAGUUCGUGGCUUGAGCUGUUCCCUUAAGUGGGGAAACGAACGCAACCCUCGUUGCCUGUUACAAGUGUCAGGCGAGACUGCUCCCUCACGGGAGAGGAAGGUGAGGAUGACGCCAGGUCAGCAUGUCCCUUGAUGCCUGGGGCUGCACUCGUGAUACAAUGGGAUGUACAAAGGGACGCAAUACAGUAAUGUGGAGCAAAUCCUGAUAAAACAUUCCUCAGUUCGGAUUGAGGGCUGCAACUCGCCCUCAGAAGCCG